AUGGCGGCGCUUCGAGUCGCGGCGAGGAGGCUCGUCGGCGGUGGCCAGACGCCGGCGGUGGCUGUGGACAAGGCGCAACGCCGGCUCUUCCCGAGGCUCUCCCAGGUCGACCGGGCUAGGUCCACCACAUCCUCCGCUGCUGCUGCCGCAGACACCAAUCUGGCGGCGGCCAAGGGCGGUGAAGACCGGGAGAAACUCCUGACAGAGAUCCAUAACAUGAGAGAGGAGCUGUAUGAUAAGGUUUUGCACGCGCAAAGGACCUACAAUAUCCCUGGCAGGGCAGGCAAAAAUUUCAGUCGGCUGCGCGAGGAGCUCGCCAUGCAAGUGGAUCCUAGACCCUGGGACACCACAUGGCGCCACACGCGAUUCCUGAAUGUACUUGAGCGUUGCAUCGGAUUUGCGGCUUUGUCCUUCAGCUCGUAUGUGCUCAUGGGCAUGGCCGUUGGUAAGAUCGUUGAAUUGGAUCCAGAUGAAAAGCAAUGGAUCAAGAAGAAAAGAGGGGGAGGCACACAAGCAAAGUGA
rnacentral:rRNA from 1 species